GGCCAUAGAAUUGGAUUCAGUUGAUUCUUGCCAACUAGCUACAACUUGAAAGAUUCCAGCUCUAGCCUUUUCUCUGGCAUCAGAGAGCUCUGCGACUUUGGAUGUGCAGACAGCGCCAGCCCUCCUCCCCAGCAAGGGCUGCUGUGAAGACGAAAGGCGAUCCUGGAGAGGCGAGGGUUUCGCCAACCAUCCGAGGCUGUGUAAUGCUGUGGUUACCCCUCCAAGUCAGAGCUCUUACCUGCACAGUGAAGUGGAGGACGAAGACUUCCGGCGUGCAAAGGAAAGAGGGACUAAGCCCCAGCAGACCUCAGGAGAAGGAAACCUCCUGGCUACUUUGGCACAUGUCCACAGUCAGUCUAAGAGAAGCAAGCUGAAGAUCUCAGUCUGACAAAGUGGAUGGUUGGAAUCACUGGCCUUCCUCUCUCCGGCCCGUUCCUUGCUGGCUGCCUCAGCAGAUGUGCAUGAAGCCUGUGGGUGUGCACAAGGGACGACAGGCAGACGGCUCUUCGGGGGAAGUGGCACCCACACCUGCAGUCCAGGCUGUACACCUGGGGAUGACAGAGAGAGGAGCUUCAGCCCACCCCAUUGGGCCUCCAUAGAAGAGUGUUGAGCAAGAUAGGACUGAAGACAGAGCCCAGAGGUGUAUCCUAAAGACCUCCACUGUUAGUCGUGUGUUCAGGAGAAACUGCUCUGCCAAAAACAUCUUUAAAAGCUCAGGACGAGCCACACCUGGCGGAUGUAAGGAGUGCUGAGAAUGGUCCAGAGCGUGUGACUUCAGAUCUCUAUAAGAAUCAUGAUGUUUCCAAGGCAACACAUGGCUUGGGGAAAUUGGAGAGAAUACUCCUGAAGCAAAGGGAUAACAUCACAGCUACCACGACAGACAAUGCUAUCCAGCUCACAACUGCCGGGUGCUCGGAGGGACCGAGGGAUCUUGACUGCAGUCUGGAAGGCCUGGGAUUUGGAGUGGAAUCGUCACGCUAGUGUUCAGUACAUUUGCAAAUGCCCUGGACGGUGCUGUGACGGGACCUCAGUUAAAACAGCAUGUAGGACUUGGCUCCUGCUUAUUUAGGUAUGCAAAUGACUGGCCACAACUGCUUUCUUAUCCUGCCCAAGUGAAGCAGAUGCUGCUGACUGUCUUUUCUAUUGUGCACGUCGGUGAGGGACACAAGUUUCCUCUUUUAUUUUCCAUUCCAGAUAUUGUCCAGCUGGUCAAAUUGCCAGAUCAUUUUCCCCGAGAUGACAUUAUUCCUUUUAAAAAAAAACUUAAAGUGUGAUUACAUAGAGUGGUUAUUGAAGAGAUUAUACAGUGAUACAAAAAUAAGGAAGUUAAAAAAAUUAAACUGCAU